GUUUCCAUUAACAUUAAAUUAGGUUACUGAAUUGGCAAACACCUUCCUAUUAACACUACCCAUUUUACCCCAAUAACUAAAGAAAUUAGCACUUGCAGGUCAAAACCUUUAUUCAAGAGACGCAAAAAUAACAUUGAUACAGUGACUGUCAAAAAAUACAGCACUGAUCAUACUGUGACAUCUUGGUUCAAAACAGCAAGCUUAGAAAUAUUCAACGUUCUUUACUUCAACUGAAUGAAACUGAAAAUACCAUUUCACACGACCCAUAUGGGAUAUUUAGACUGUAUAACUGUUCAUGCUACAUCUCUUCACUAGUAAAAGAAAGAAAAAAUACAAAGAGAAAUUUAAAAAUGCUGCCAAACAGACAAACAGAACUUGUACAGAGCAAAAGGAAAAACAAACAACAACAAAAAACAGCUCGUCCUCAUGGCAGUUGCAGAGUAUAUAAAAAUGAACCCUGCGAUCCGUUCCUGGAAUUGAGCUUCAAAAAUGCAGCAGAACAAGUGUGAGAUUUAAAUGUCCUCUCACCUAGAGCUGGUCACCUCACAUGCAUAACAGUGAGCUUCGUUGCAGGAGCAGUUUUGUCUUAGUUGUGAGCUUUUCUUGAGAGCUGAGUUGCAUCCAACUCCAUUACCACCCUUUGAAUCACCUCAAAAGUGUAGCAGAGUUGUGAUGGGUAACUCAUGUUGAAGGAAUAAAAAAGGUCCAAACAGCAUGGCUACUGCAAAGGUCACGUUAUCCAGAUCUUGAAGAACAACAUCAGAAAAGUCAUUGCCUGGCGCAUCUCUGGAGACAGAUGUUCAUUGUGGUUUUCUCAAUCUGUGCAGUGGCCUCAGGCAAGUCCUGGUUAAACACAAAACAUUUCUUUAAGAUUCCUUUUUAAGCUCAUCUCUUUUGAAUCUACCAGUUCUAAUGUUAGAGUAAUUUAAACCAAUGCAAGCAACAUAGUAAAUAGCUAUAGCCAAAGAGUGGCCUGCCAUGCUGCCAUUCAUGGUCUAACAGAGUUUCUAAGAGAGGGUGAAAAACAUAAUAAUUUCAAAUGCU
ensembl:lncRNA